GUUUCUGGCUCUGUUUAAACCACUGAGCCCAAGCUACUGAGGCAAGCAAGUGGAAAGGAGCCGGGAACUCAGCACGACUGCCUGUGAGGAGACCUACUCAAGGCGGCACUCCAGCGAGGAAAAACACAAAACCUACAGCUCGCCUUACCAAGCUGAGAGCCACAAGGGGCAUACAUACCCUGCAUCGCCCACAAGGUUGGAAGAUCGUCCGCGACCCUCUGAUCACUCCCGGCAGGGAAUAGACUUGGACUGCUGCAGAAAUCAGGUCUGUGGAACACAGAUGCCGGCCCUCGAACAAGCCUGGGGCUGGAGAUGUCCCCAUGUGGGCGAAGAACACCUGAUGGAUGACACAUCCAUUCUGCUAAGGACUGGAGUUGGUUGACCCAGAGGGGGGGGACUGUCACAUAGGCCUGCGGCCAUAAGAGAGAAGCAACUGAGUUAAAUAACCCCUCUGCAUCAGUCAUUAGCAUCAGUCAUUAGCAUCAGUCAUUAGCGAGGAAAAUGUUUUCCAAUACUUUCCAUGUCUUCUCUAUGCCUUUCUCUGUCUACGGCUCCUUACCAGCCACUUUUCUCUAUACGUUAAAACCAAC